AAAAGCUGAAAAGACUCGCGCAGUCCAGCCAGGAGAUGCCAAAUUGUCGUGGAAAUUAGACAACACUCGCAGACUCGUCCUCUGAAGUUUUGAAGCUGUGAUCUAAGAAACACCAAUAUCUCUGCCGUCACAGAGGCGACGUUCCUGGAACUUCUUAUAAGAAAUAGCUCCAUGUAAUACUUCUCUCAAGUCAGGGAUAAGGCUGCAUCUGUCUUUUGCUCUGCACAACAAAGGGGAAACCGCCUUCGCGUCAACACAGAUUUCAGGGUGAAACUUU